rnacentral:rRNA from 1 species
AUUGAACGCUGGCGGCAGGCCUAACACAUGCAAGUCGAACGAGUGGCGGUCGGGUGAGUACUGACUGGGAAACUGCCCGAUGGUAGGCGCUCACUACUGGUAAAGGUACCUAAUACCGCCUACCAUCGGAUCUGCCCCGAUGUGAUUAGCUAGUAGGUGGGGUAACGGCUCACCUAGGCGACGAUCCCUAGCUGGGCUGAGAGGAUGACCCGCCACACUGGAACUGAGACACGGUCCAGACUCCUACGGGAGGCAGCAGUGGGGAAUAUUGCACAAUGGGCGCAAGCCUGAUGCAGCCAUGCCGCGUGUAUGAAGAAGGCCUUCGGGUUGUAAAGUACUUUCAGCGAGGAGGCGUUACUCGCAGAAGAAGCACCGGCUAACUCCGUGCCAGCAGCCGCGGUAAUUC